GAUGAACGCUGGCGGCGUGCCUAAUACAUGCAAGUCGAGCGAAUGGAUUAAGAGCUUGCUCUUAUGAAGUUAGCGGCGGACGGGUGAGUAACACGUGGGUAACCUGCCCAUAAGACUGGGAUAACUCCGGGAAACCGGGGCUAAUACCGGAUAACAUUUUGAAACGCAUGGUUCGAAAUUGAAAGGCUGCUUCGGCUGUCACUUAUGGAUGGACCCGCGUCGCAUUAGCUAGUUGGUGAGGUAACGGCUCACCAAGGCAACGAUGCGUAGCCGACCUGAGAGGGUGAUCGGCCACACUGGGACUGAGACACGGCCCAGACUCCUACGGGAGGCAGCAGUAGGGAAUCUUCCGCAAUGGACGAAAGUCUGACGGAGCAACGCCGCGUGAGUGAUGAAGGCUUUCGGGUCGUAAAACUCUGUUGUUAGGGAAGAACAAGUGCUAGUUGAAUAAGCUGACACCUUGACGGUACCUAACCUGAAAGCCACGGCUAACUACGUGCCAGCAGCCGCCGUAA
rnacentral:rRNA from 1 species